CCCGGAGGAGAGUGAGGAAGUGCCCGAAGACACCUCCCAUCGGUCCCUCAGAGCUCCGCCCCCUGCUCUCAGCGUCCACCGCCAUCGCGAGAAGACCCCUGGCCGCAGGAGCCGGGGUGGGUCCAAGACGCUGCAGCAGUUCACCCCCGUGGAACGCUACGGCCCUGAGAGAUGCCUGGCCAAUGCUGGGGGCUGGGGACUGGUCAAAGACUUCAAGGCCGCCCACAGACAGUGUGCCCAGGAUGCUUUGGCCCACCCUUCCAUCGUCCCAUGUGCCCGUCCAUCCUUGUCGAAGAAGAAGCCAAAAUGGCAUCCUUCACCUGGUAGAAAGAGGAACCAUCACAACCAGCCCAGGCAGAAAGGUGGAGGAGAGGGAGGCGUCUGCUCCAGUCCAGAAGUCUGAUAUCAAAUUGAAAAAGCAGGAAGGAACAGAGGCCUCAAGAAGGAGCCCCUGGGCCUCUUGGAUGAGAAGGGACCAGGUUGAAUUUUGGCCCUGUAACCCCCUGUGUCCCACUUUGAGUGGCGAUCUGCCGUCCUUUGGACUACUCGGGGGUGGGGAGUGAUUGAAGGAUGAGAUAUUGGUUAUAAAGCUCAGGUCUCCGACCAGAUGUGCUGGCUUUCAUGUCUGCCAGUGAACCCCUCGGAGGCCCAGCUCACUGCAAGGGUCAUUUGGCAGCGGGGUCUCUAGUACACUCAGGCUGCUCUGAAAGUCUGCGACCCUGGGCAAGUGCCUUCUCCACGGCGUCUUUACCGCUCUGUUUUGCAGAGUAACAACACGUUCACGACCCCUUUACUUCCCAGCGAGGACUAUUUGUGCCGCCCGGACCAGCGCUAAGCAGUACUAAUGGGAAGAUGCUUUGAAAAGUAUCUGCUUGGUAUGGCCUGACUUUUGUAAAAGGUCUGGUGGCAACGCAGCCCAUUUUUUAUAAAAUCCACCCUCUGGACUGCGCUCCGCCACCGCGGAGUGUGGACACAGGGGGUUGGUCCAGAGCCACCAUUCAACAUGGUCCGUUUUCCUCGCAGAGGCUGGUGGGCUCCCUCCUGAGGCCUCGGCUGGUUCCUGCCCCUGGCGCAGCAUUCCUCGGCUCCCGCCUCGGGGCGCUGGGGUCUGGGGGCUGCGAGCUGUCUGAGCGGGAAACCGAGGCCCAGAGGGACUGUCUCCGAGGCGUCUGAGUCUAGUCGUUCUGAGCGCAUGCGCCUGGGCUCACCCUGCAGGUGAGUCUCUGGAGCACACGUGACAUCGUGGGGCUGGACCCCCUGGGCGGUGGGCGCCACAGCAGGGACCAGCGGAGAAGGCAGCCCGGCAUCUCUGGGCGGGGCUGGUGGGAGGCGCAUGGGGCCUGGGGCGGGUACCCGGGAGGGGGCGUGGCUCCGGGUUGGGAGGUGCCGUUUAUGAGGGAUGCUCGACAGUGAGAAUGGACAGGAUUUGGGGACACUUGUGACUCAAGGCAGGGGAAGUCGGAUGGGAGGUUAAGUGGGCAGGCUCAGGGACCCCGGAACCCCUUGGGGGCAUCUGUGAGCUGUGGCCCAGCCCCAGUUCCAGGCCCUUCCCUGGUGUCAUCAUGUCGCCCUUCCUCCAAUGCUGGGACCCAGGAACUGGCCUGUCCCCACUCUGCAGGGGAGUACACUGAGGCCCGGGAGGUCGAGUCGCUUACCCAGCCUGGAAGGGACAGCUGGCUUUGAAGGUGGGCAGCUGGCUCUGGCCCCCCGGGGACUAAUCCCCGUAGGUUACAUAACGCAGCAGAUGGGGCUGGGUUAGCAGUCUCCAAGCGGCUGGAAUCAGGCCUCGGAAUUUUCCAGAGAGCAGUUUUCUGAAUCCGGCCCAGGCACGCCACCAGGGACAGGAAGCGCCUUCUGAGUUGUCACAUGGUCCCUUGGCACGGCAAGGUGGAGCCCCAGUGCAUCUGGUGGAGCAAGACUCGGGGACCUUUGUCGGGGCGGCCUCGGCACCGGGGCCGGGGGGUCGAGGGCCGGUGCAGGAGCCGCUGGCGGUGACCCAGGAGCGAGUCCCCUGCUCAUGAGAAGCAGGUGCCGUGCGGCGAAAGGCGGGGAGCUGGGGGCCGUGGGUCUGAGUUGUCGGGUCACAGCUGCCCUGGGAUGCGCCGAGCACCCCUGUGGGCGUCUGAACCGGGUGAGGCUCCGCCAGGCCUGCACUGCGCGGCUGCGAGCGGGUCAUCCAGAAUCGGCCGAGUCCGGGCCUCGGGUGCUUCGGGGGUGGACGUGAGUAAGCCAGGCCCCUCCGGGCGGUGGCUUGUCCCGGACACCGGUGCUGUUCGAAGCCCCAUGUCACAGACGAGAGAACCGAAGAGUCCAGAAGGCACCAGCAAGCCGCCAGCGCUGGGCCGUGGCUGUGCCCUGCCACAGGGAAGCACGUCCAGACACCUGCUGCAGCGUGGGUGGACCUGGAGGACACUGCUCAGGAGCCAGACACAGAAGGACACGUCCUGUGUGAUCCCACUCACGGGAGGUCCCCAGAGGAAUCAGAUUCGGAGACAGAGAGCGGAUGCGGCCACUGUCAUUGGCACCUUCUAGAACCACCGUCUUCUCUGGUCCUCCAGAGUCAUCUUCGUCUCAGGGUCUUCGACUUAACCCGUCUGCAAAGUUCCUUCUGCCACGUGAGGUGACGUGUCCUCAGGCCCCUCUACACCUACUGAUGACAGAGGGUAGACAGGAACUCUGUAGGGCCUUUGCAGCUUUCCGUGAAUCUGAAACGAUUUCGGAAUCAACAUUUUAUCUUAAAAAACACGAGAAUUGGGAGGUGAUUACAAGAAAUUCAAGCCAAACCUGUCAUUACAGCAGUAACUCAGUCACCCAUAACUUCCCCCGAGGUCAUCGUGGGCAAUGCUGGGCGUUCAUCCCAUUUCCUAUCUGUGUUUAUGGUGACAUGUGUCCUUUCUCUUGUAUAUAAAUGGCAUCAUACUGUG